ensembl:lncRNA
GUCUGUGCUGGGUCUUCGUUGUUGCUCGGGCUUUUCUCUAGUUGUGGUGAGCAGGGGCUUCUCUUGUUGUGGAGCAUGGGCUCUAGAGCACUGGCUUAAUAGUUGUGACCAGGGGCUUAGUUGCCCUGCGGCACAUGGGACCUUUCUGGACCAGGGAUGGGACCUUCCUGGACCAGGGAUGGGACCUUCCUGGACCAGGGAUCGAACCCAUGUCUCCUGCAUUGGUAGGUGGAUUCUUUACCACUGAGCCACCAGGGAAGCCCUACUCCUAUUAUCUUUGCGCUACUUCGUUCUUUCGUUCAAAACACUCUCUGCAUCAUGAGGGAGUGUUUGUGGAUGGCUUUUGCACCUCCAGCCUCUUUGCAGUUACCCUAACUCAGUAUGUAGUUGUGGCCUCCCCUGCUGACCCCAAGGUAUGAUGGUCCCUCCUCCCUCCCUGGCACUGCCCUCAUGCUCUGUCGAGGCAGGGGCCACUCUGCCACACCUCUCUGCUCAAUGUUGCACCUAACCCACCAGGCUGGUCCACCCCUGCUGCCCACCCACUGCACAGGCUGGCAGGUGGGAGCUCUGCCCUAGUGGUACCAGCUGCCAUAUCAACCUAACCCAUCAAGAGCUGUCUGGGAUGGGGCCAGCGGCAGGCUGAGCCCAGGGCGCCUGCCGCCUCAGACAGUGAUCCCUGUGCCUGCAUGCCUCGCUCCAUCCAGGGCUGGAGGAUCACGAUGCUGGAGCAGCCAGGUACUGCUUUGGACCCUGCUGCUUUCUGGAGUCACACCUUUCUGCUCAUGGUGCAUUGGUAGCCAGGCAGGCACCAACUAUAGAAGCCCCGCGCAGCUUCUGUAGUGAUCCCACAGCGAGCCCUCCCCCAAGCAAGUGACUGUUGAUGAGCAAGGGUCAACCCGUGACCGUUAGUGGUUCAGCUCUGCUAUUGGUCAGUAUCACAGUGGGUCCCUCCCCCUCCCCCAUAUACUAAAGGAGCCUGAAUUUGGACUGAGGGAAGAUAGUUUUUGAGAAGCUACUCUGCCAUCUCCCUUGGCUAGCUUUCUGAUUAAAGUCGUUAUUCCUUAUUCCAACAACUCCUCUCCUGAUUUGUUAGCCUGUUGGGCGGUGAGCAGAAUGAGCUUGGGCUGGGUAACAAAUACAGCUGGUGGCUUUACUUGCUACUGAGUUGUAAGUAAAGGUGUGAUACAUUCAUUUCCAUUAUAAUUUGUUUUUAACAUCUUAAUUAUUGAGAUUAUAAAAGAAGAGGAGGAAACUCCUUAAUUUUCAUGUGUUUGAGAAUUUGUGUGUGAGAAAUGCUUUGAACUAAUUAAUGAGGCUAACAACAGAAACUUCUAAGUUGCAAGGUGUUCAAUUAACCACAGCUGCCCAUGGGGAGUGUUCCCUGGACUUACGGAUCCAUUGCAAGUUUUUGAGAACCUAAGGCAGAGCUUUGAGUCUAACACAGGAGAGGAUUGUCUAAUUAGAACAGCAGACUGGGAGUUGGUUACCUUGAGCUGUAUUUUUGCUUUCAUAAGUUUUUCUGUCUAACCUUGGGCAAGUUGCAUAAUCUUUAGGGGUUUUCUUAUCUUUCAAAUGCUGAUAAUACUUGCUUGAUUUUAGGUCUUUUUAAGGUCUUGGAUGAAAGCUGUUUUAUAAGCUUGUUGCAUUAUCAGGAAAUGCCAGAUUUAGAAGUUAUUAUUAACUAUGGGAGGCGUGUGAACACACAUCUGCCCCUCUUCCAAGACUGGAAAAAAGAAAAAAGAACUUCACCAUCAGAGUUCAACUGCUGGGUUGCCAUGGGCACGGUAUUCUUUUCCUGUCAUUUGUAGAGCAGUUAACAGUCAGUAGUGACUAGUGGGGAGAAGUUGGGCUUUCACGAUUCUUUUCAGGUCAACAUUAUUUAUUUAUUGACUGCAGGCCUCAUUAUAUUCCACUGGGUGGCUUUACAAGUGUCACCACAAUGAACAUCUGACAUUGGUUCUUAUAACAUAAAGGAAAUGACCUGACAAAAAUGUGGAAUCCCACAAGGAUCAACCAAGUUUGAACUUCAACUUUCAUGAAGUCACUGAGCCCUGGAUCUCAUUAAACUCAUCAGUUUUGCUAUGCUGUGAGGCAUCUUGGAGACACUUUCUGUAUUUCCAAGUACACCAGACAACUUUUAAAAUCAAAUUUCUAUUUCAAAAUUUAUGUUGCUUAAAGCAUGUGGUUAUGACAUUUAAUUUUAUGCUAUGUGAAGGGAAGCCCUUCCCUCUGAAAAGGGGCUACAGUUAUGACAUCUGACAGUGAUUCACAUGAAUUGUUACUAGAUGACUUUCAUUCAUCCUCUAAUUCAUUCAUGUGAGAAACAUCUAUUGAAUACCUUAGGUACCAGAUAUUCUGAAAAGCACUGGUUAUGUAGCAGAGGUCUGUAAUUUUUUUUUCUGUGAAGGGCUAGGGGCAAAUAUUAGGCUGAGAGUCAUUAGCUCUCUGGUUAUAAUUGCUCAGCUCUGCUGUUAUAUCAUUAUAUCAGCCAUGCAUGAGAGAUAAACAAAUCAGUGUGGCUGAUAAACUUUAUUUAUAGACACUAAAAUUUGAGUUUCAUGUAUUAAAUAAUUUUUAGUUGUUCAUGAAAUAGUAUUCUUUUGACUUUUUUCCCAACCAUUUAAAGAUGUAAAAGCCUUUUUAGCUCAUGGAUGGUACAAAAACAGGCUGCAGGCUGGAUUUGGCCUGUGGGAUAUAUUUUGCUAAUCCUUGGUAUAUAGCAGUGAGUGAAACAGAUACGAUAUUUGCCUUUUGGGUCUUCAAGUCUAGCUUAUAGCCCCUUGGACUAGGCUGUGGAAAUCCCAUAGUUAGCUGGAAGUGUGUGUGUGACAGCCAUUCCCCUGGCAUGGCUACCUCUCCCCUACUCAGGGGGCAUGUCCCUAAUUACAUCUGCGGGAGCCAGAAACAAAAGACAUGGAGGCCCAUACACUAUAAGUCUAAAUAUUUAAAAGUUAUAAAUUACUUGGCAAAAGGAUAAAUAAAAUAUAUUCUAUCAUAUUACUUUUCCCCUAACUUUAUUGACAUAUAACAUUGUGUAAAUUUAAUGUGUACAGUGUGAUGAUUUGAUACAUGCAUAUUACAAAAUAUUGCUACAAUAACGUUAGUUAGCACAUUCUUCAACUCACAUAGUUACCAUUUUGUUAUUCUUAUGAUGAGAAUAUUUAAGAUCUACUCUCUUGGUAACUUUCAAGUAUACAAUAUAGUGUUGUUGACUACAGUCACCAUGUGCAUUAGAUCUCUAGCGUUUAAUCUUCUUAUCACUGGAAGUUUAUACCCUCUGACUGGCAUCUCCCCAUCUCCCCCAGCCUAGUUCCUGACAAGUACCAAUCUUAUCUCUGCUUCUAAGAGUUUGGCUUUUUAUUUGUCUUUCUGAGUCUGGUUUAUUUUACUUAGCAUAAUGUCCUCAAGGUUCAACCAUGUUGUCACAAAUGGCAGAUUUCUUUCUUUUUUAG